rnacentral:rRNA from 1 species
AAAAGAACCCCGGCGAGGGGAGUGAAAAAGAACCUGAAACCGUGUACGUACAAGCAGUGGGAGCCCCACCACUAAGCCAGUGGUGAACUCCACAUACGCAUCCUUUGCUGAAGGCAAUGGUUAACGGAGCGAAAGCGACGUUCAACCUCAAAAAAAGCAGAGGGGGCUUAGUGGUGGGGUGACUGCGUACCUUUUGUAUAAUGGGUCAGCGACUUAUAUUCUGUAGCAAGGUUAACCGUAUAGGGGAGCCGGAGGGAAACCGAGUCUUAACCGGGCGUUAAGUUGCAGG